AAAGAGCUCGUAGGUGGUUUGUCGCGUUGUUCGUGAAAACUCACAGCUCAACUGUGGGCGUGCGGGCGAUACGGGCAGACUGGAGUACUGCAGGGGAGACUGGAAUUCCUGGUGUAGCGGUGGAAUGCGCAGAUAUCAGGAGGAACACCGGUGGCGAAGGCGGGUCUCUGGGCAGUAACUGACGCUGAGGAGCGAAAGCGUGGGGAGCGAACAGGAUUAGAUACCCUGGU
rnacentral:rRNA from 1 species